rnacentral:lncRNA from 1 species
UAACAAAUCACACCCUGGUCCAUGGCCCAGUACACAGCCCCCCAAGCACGAGGCUUCAGGAAGGCGAAGUGCUUUUGAUUGAAAUCACUUGGCAAUUAUUAUGCCUCGAUGUCGCCUAUUUGUUGCUGACUCAUAUUCUUUGUUUGCUUGUCGCCUUGUCCUUCCUUUUGUUGUUGAUAUUUCUUAGAUAAUUUGUUCGCCCUUCUAUGACUUUUGAAUAUCUUGAUGUACACCAUUUGUGGCUUUGAAUAUUGUUGUCAUUGUUUCUUGGCGACUUUGAGCAAGUUGGCAAGUCGCCCUUCCUUCUUUUCCAUCG